UACGUAGGCAGCAAGCGUUGUUCGGAGUUACUGGGCGUAAGGGUGCGUAGGCGGCUUCUUAAGUCUGGUGUGAAAUCUCCCGGCUCAACUGGGAGGGUGCGCCGGAUACUGAGGGGCUAGGAGUGUGGGAGAGGAAAGUGGAAUUCCUGGUGUAGCGGUGAAAUGCGUAGAUAUCAGGAGGAACACCGGUGGUGUAAACGGCUUUCUGGACCAUAACUGACGCUGAGGCACGAAAGCGUGGGUAGCAAACAGG
rnacentral:rRNA from 1 species